rnacentral:rRNA from 1 species
AUUGAACGCUGGCGGCAUGCUUUACACAUGCAAGUCGAACGGUAACAGGGAGCUUGCUCCGCUGACGAGUGGCGAACGGGUGAGUAAUGCAUCGGAACAUGCCCAGUCAUGGGGGAUAACUACGCGAAAGCGUAGCUAAUACCGCAUACGCCCUGAGGGGGAAAGUGGGGGAUCUUAGGACCUCACGUGAUUGGAGUGGCCGAUGUCAGAUUAGCUAGUUGGUGAGGUAAAGGCUCACCAAGGCGACGAUCUGUAGCGGGUCUGAGAGGAUGAUCCGCCACACUGGGACUGAGACACGGCCCAGACUCCUACGGGAGGCAGCAGUGGGGAAUUUUGGGCAAUGGGCGCAAGCCUGAUCCAGCAAUGCCGCGUGCAGGAAGAAGGCCU